rnacentral:rRNA from 1 species
AUACGUAGGGAGCAAGCGUUGUCCGGAUUUAUUGGGUGUAAAGGGUGCGUAGGCGGCUACAUAAGUCAGGCGUGUAAUUCAGAGGCUUAACCUCUGAACUGCGCUUGAAACUGUGUGGCUUGAGUGGAGUAGAGGCAGAUGGAAUUUCCAGUGUAGCGGUGAAAUGCGUAGAUAUUGGAAGGAACACCAGUGGCGAAGGCGAUCUGCUGGGCUCUAACUGACGCUGAGGCACGAAAGCAUGGGGAGCAAACAGGAUUAGAUACCCUGGUAGUCCAUGCCGUAAACGAUGAUUACUAGGUGUGGGGGGACUGACCCCUUCCGUGCCGGAGUUAACACAAUAAGUAAUCCACCUGGGAAGUACGAUCGCAAGGUUGAA